rnacentral:lncRNA from 1 species
GACACGACUUGCUGUUUCUCUCAUCUAGUAGAAGACACUGGAACCACUACACUGUUCGAGGUUGAGAUUCUUCCACAAGUAGGCAGGUUUGGGCUGUGUACAUGAACUGGGAGCCUGACUGGUCUCCUUCCAGCAUAAAUGCUUGUGAGUUUUCUCUAGUCGAUGUCGUCGGGCGCAGUGAAGUUGGCACAAAGGUUUCGUUGCUGACAAAGGUUAACGGUUAUGUUGCAGUGUUCAAACCCGAUGAUGGAAGGGGGGGCCUUGGAGAUCCCUACUGGUGAAAACACGAAGGGUCUGCUUCCGUCUGACCGGAGGAGGCGGCGGCGAGC